AUUGAACGCUAGCGGCAUGCUUAACACAUGCAAGUCGAACGGCAGCGCGGGGAGCUUGCUCCCUGGCGGCGAGUGGCGGACGGGUGAGUAACGCGUAGGAAUUUGCCUUGUAGUGGGGGACAACUCGGGGAAACUCGGGCUAAUACCGCAUAAUCUCUAAGGAGCAAAGUGGGGGAUCUUCGGACCUCACGCUAUAAGAUGAGCCUGCGUCGGAUUAGCUUGUUGGUGGGGUAAUGGCCUACCAAGGCGACGAUCCGUAGCUGGUCUGAGAGGACGAUCAGCCACACUGGGACUGAGACACGGCCCAGACUCCUACGGGAGGCAGCAGUGGGGAAUAUUGGACAAUGGGGGAAACCCUGAUCCAGCAAUGCCGCGUGUGUGAAGAAGGCCUUCGGGUUGUAAAGCACUUUCAGUAGGGAAGAAAAGGCUCAAGAUUAAUACUCUUGAGAGUUGACGUUACCUACAGAAGAAGCACUGGCUAACUCUGUGCCAGC
rnacentral:rRNA from 1 species